rfam:Eubacterium biforme DSM 3989 Scfld15 genomic scaffold, whole genome shotgun sequence.
CAGAUUGUUAUCAAUAUUCCAAAGACAGUAACGGCGUAUGCUUAAUAAUGUUACCGAGGGUAUGAUGCAUUGACUUUGCACAAUUAGCCCGUCUUUGAUGCGGGCUUUUCUUUUGAAUAU